rnacentral:rRNA from 1 species
UGGGGAAUAUUGCACAAUGGGCGCAAGCCUGAUGCAGCCAUGCCGCGUGUAUGAAGAAGGCCUUCGGGUUGUAAAGUACUUUCAGCGGGGAGGAAGGUGUUGAGGCUAAUAACCUCAGCAAUUGACGUUACCCGCAGAAGAAGCACCGGCUAACUCCGUGCCAGCAGCCGCGGUAAUACGGAGGGUGCAAGCGUUAAUCGGAAUUACUGGGCGUAAAGCGCACGCAGGCGGUCUGUCAAGUCGGAUGUGAAAUCCCCGGGCACAACCUGGGAACUGCAUUCGAAACUGGCAGGCUAGAGUCUUGUAGAGGGGGGUAGAAUUCCAGGUGUAGCGGUGAAAUGCGUAGAGAUCUGGAGGAAUACCGGUGGCGAAGGCGGCCCCCUGGACAAAGACUGACGCUCAGGUGCGAAAGCGUGGGGAGCAAACA